GUUUGAUCCUGGCUCAGGACGAACGCUGGCGGCGUGCUUAAUACAUGCAAGUCGAGCGAGGUUAUGUUGUAGAAGUCCUUCGGGAUGGAAGCGAUUUAACCUAGCGGCGGACGGGUGAGUAACGCGUGGGUAACCUACCCUUAAGCUCGGGAUAACAGUGGGAAACCGCUGCUAAUACCGGAUGACUUUAUCUGGGGGCAUCUUCGGAUAAGGAAAGUUCGUGACCUUUGGUCACAAGCGCUUUAGGAUGGACCCGCGUCCCAUUAGCUAGUUGGUGAGGUAACGGCUCACCAAGGCGACGAUGGGUAGCCGGCCUGAGAGGGUGAACGGCCACACUGGGACUGAGACACGGCCCAGACUCCUACGGGAGGCAGCAGUAGGGAAUAUUGCGCAAUGGAGGGAACUCUGACGCAGCGACGCCGCGUGAGGGAAGAAGGUUCUCGGAUUGUAAACCUCUGUCCCGGGGGACGAAACAAAUGACCGAGUACCCUGGGGAGGAAAGCCACGGCUAACUACGUGCCCAGCAGCCGCGGUAAAAACGUAGGUGGCGAGCGUUGUCCGGAAUGAUUGGGUGUAAAGGGAGCGCAGGUGGGCGUGCAAGUUGAAUGUGAAAUCUAUGGGCUCAACCCAUAAAUUGCGUUCAAAACUGCACAUCUUGAGUGGAGCAGGGGCAAGUGGAAUUCCCGGUGUAGCGGUGGAAUGCGUAGAUAUCGGGAGGAACAUCGGUGGCGAAGGCGACUUGCUGGGCUCCAACUGACACUGAGGCUCGAAAGCGUGGGUAGCAAACAGGAUUAGAUACCCUGGUAGUCCACGCCGUAAACGAUGAUUACUAGGUGUGGGGAGAUUGACCCUCUCCGUGCCGCAGCAAACGCAUUAAGUAAUCCACCUGGGGAGUACGGCCGCAAGGUUGAAACUCAAAGGAAUUUGACGGGGGCCCGGCACAAGCAGUGGAGUAUGUGGUUUAAUUUCGAAAGCAACGCGAAGAACCUUACCAAAGCCUUGACAUCUCCUGCAUAGCCUGAGAACAGGUGAAGUCCUUUCGGGGACAGGGAAGACAGGUGGUGCAUGGUUGUCGUCAGCUCGUGUCGUGAGAUGUUGGGUUAAGUCCCGCAACGAGCGCAACCCUUACAGAUAGUUACUACGAGAAGAGGACUCUAUCAGGACUGCCGUUGACAAAACGGAGGAAGGUGGGGAUGACGUCAAAUCAUCAUGCCCUUUAUGGCUUGGGCUACACACGUACUACAAUGGCCGCAAACAGAGGGGACCGAAGGGGUGACCCGGAGGGAAUCCGAUAAAGGCGGUCUCAGUUCGGAUUAGAGGCUGCAACUCGCCUCUAUGAAGUCGGAAUUGCUAGUAAUCGCGGAUCAGCACGCCGCGGUGAAUACGUUCCCGGG
rnacentral:rRNA from 1 species